rnacentral:rRNA from 1 species
GGACGGAGGAUGCAAGUGUUAUCCGGAAUCACUGGGCGUAAAGCGUCUGUAGGUGGUUUCAAAAGUCCACUGUUAAAGAUUGAAGCUUAACUUCAAAAAUGCCGUGGAAACUUUGAAACUUGAAGUAUGAUAGGGGUAGAGGGAAUUUCCAGUGAGCGGUGAAAUGCGUAGAUAUUGGAAAGACCACCAAUGGCCGAAGGCA